CCCGGGGCCCAGGGUUAGGGUUUUAGGGUCAGGGCCCGGGGCCCAGGGUUAGGGUGAUUUCCAGGAAGUGACCUCACAACGACUCAAGCUACCACUUACUGUUGAUUGUGAUGAAAUGCCAGCUGAGGCACACGCCUUGGGAGCUAAGUGGUUGCUGCACUUGACCACUAUGAAGACUGGUGUGGGAAGGGUCGCUUUGGAUGCACUUGAGCAGGGGUCCCCAACCCCUGAGCCAUGGAGCCGUAAGGAGCCACACAGCAGGUGGGACCAUCCAGUUUCAGGAAAACAAGCUUAACACGCCCACUGAAUCUACAUUAUGCUCCUACCUCCCGGCAGCCUCGCCAGGCCCAGAACUCUCUCCAGUCAGCCUCUACAGACCAAGCUCAUGACUCACAAUGGCCUAUUUAGGCCCAUACCCUACCUCACGGCAGUCUCCGCAGAUGAGCCUACUGCCUCACAACAGCCUCCACAGGCACAGCUCCAUCGUUACAAUGGCCUCUUUAGACCCAGCUCCUGCCGCCCAGCCUUCUCUCCAGGCCCUGAACUUUCUCCGUGGGACCAUCCAGUUUCAGGAAAACAAGCUUAACACGCCCACUGAAUCUACAUUAUGCUCCUACCUCCCGGCAGCCUCGCCAGGCCCAGAACUCUCUCCAGUCAGCCUCUACAGACCAAGCUCAUGACUCACAAUGGCCUAUUUAGGCCCAUACCCUACCUCACGGCAGUCUCCGCAGAUGAGCCUACUGCCUCACAACAGCCUCCACAGGCACAGCUCCAUCGUUACAAUGGCCUCUUUAGACCCAGCUCCUGCCGCCCAGCCUUCUCUCCAGGCCCUGAACUUUCUCCGUGGGACCAUCCAGUUUCAGGAAAACAAGCUUAACACGCCCACUGAUUCUACAUUAUGCUCCUACCUCCCGGCAGCCUCGCCAGGCCCAGAACUCUCUCCAGUCAGCCUCUACAGACCAAGCUCAUGACUCACAAUGGCCUAUUUAGGCCCAUACCCUACCUCACGGCAGUCUCCGCAGAUGAGCCUACUGCCUCACAACAGCCUCCACAGGCACAGCUCCAUCGUUACAAUGGCCUCUUUAGACCCAGCUCCUGCCGCCCAGCCUUCUCUCCAGGCCCUGAACUUUCUCCGUAAGUUGAGGUAGCUGGGACUGUAGGUAUACAUGAUGAUACUUGGCUAAUUUUUAAAUUGUUUUGCAGACAUGGGGUCUCACUUUGUUGGCCAGGCUGCUGUCAAACUAAUGGCCUCAAGUGACCCUUCCACCCCUGCCUCCCAUCCUCGAGGUAUGUGCCACCACAAGGAGCACUUGUUCAAUUUUCUAAAGAAAAAAUUUCUAAAGUAAGGCUGUGGAUGAUGGCAGGAAGAUAAAAGAAAAACAGAAGAAUAAGUUAAAAUGACUUAUUCACACAUAUUCUUUUGACAGCAAGAAGAACUGUUAGUAUAUACAUUCCUUACAAACAAACAAACGGCAGAUAAACAAUGUUGUAUAGGAACUUCAACACACACUGUACAAUAUUCCCACUUUGCUGACAUAAGUUAUGGAAAUUUCGUGGUUUACUUGAGUGUCGCUACCAGUAUUUUGCUCCUCUGAUGAUUUUUAUCAACUUCCUCAUCUGUUAAUUUCUCUCCAAAGUAUGUCAUGUCACGACAUACUGCCGCUGCACGAACACAGCCAGUGUCUUCCUAUUAAACAUGUAGAAUGCUUUCCUAAUUUCUCCUUUUACUCUCUGUG